UUUUACAUUUUUUGAUGAUAUAUGUAGCUACUGAAAACUGGGUUUCUUCUAGUCUAAUCUUUUAUUAGUGUAAAGUGAAAAAACUUUUAAGAAGCAGCAUGGCGUCAGUCAGACAGGAAUAUUUUCCUUGGCAGUAAUUCAGAGUAAAAGUCCUGUGGACUUCCGCAGCUUUAAACCCAGAAUAGCUGUCGGGAUUGAAGCGACUUCUACUCAGAAUUUUGACGAAUUGCAGUACUUUCCGAGCAUUAGGAGAUCUGGCGCGCGACGCAGCUGCGUCACCACACGACGAGUGGCUUGGCCACGCGGGAGGGGCCACGAGCUCACAAGUGUAGAGCGAGCGCGCGCACCUCACUCCGUCGCUGGCGCUGGAGGACGGAGCAGCGGAACCUGUGACCUGUCCUGAACCUGUGGGAGCCAGUGUGAGCCUCCGCCGGAGAAAAUAGUUCCACAUAUUUGGAAUUUAAAAGAAAAAGACCUUCACACUCACACUGGAAGCAUGCUGCAGUCAUAAGUUAGGAGGAAGAAGCCAUGAAUGCCUUUAACUUCACUGGCGUGAACUCCACUCAUGGGUACCCGGCAUCCACGGAGGACCCCCUGUACAAGCAGUACAAGCCCCAGGUGAAGGAGCUCAUCCCCUUACCCAAAGGAGUGCUCUACCUGAUCAUGGCCGCACUGGUCGUCGUUGGAGUUGCCUACGCCAUCGUCGGACACCUGAUCAAAGAUCUGGCCAUUGACAUUGCAGAGUGCUUGCUGGGUCCGGCAGGCGACGAGGAGAAGAACGUGGACGACAACCCUCAGCUGAUGCGCUUCGGCCACCCCCCCUCUGUGCACCCCUUCGCCCACAACGCCUUCCACGUGUGGGACCAGGACGACGUGGUCAUCCCUCUGUCUCCAGACGAGAGCCCUCAGACCAGCCCGCUGCUGCUGGCCGCCAUCCCCUACAUCCCCACCUUCUUCCCACACUCUCAAGGGAACCACAACCCCCAGAUGCUGUCGGGGAGCCCAGGCAUAAGCAAGGAGGUCAGCACCCCCAGGGAGUUCUGA
rnacentral:lncRNA from 1 species